CAAUAGCGUAUAUUAAAGUUGUUGCAGUUAAAAAGCUCGUAGUUGGAUUUCUGGUGGGAGCGAUCGGUCUGGCGCUUAGCGCGAGUACUUGCAUCGUCUCCGGCCAUCCUUGGGGAGAGUCUGUCUGGCAUUAAGUUGUCGGGCAGAGGAUCCUCAUCGUUUACUGUGAAAAAAUUAGAGUGUUCAAAGCAGGCUUAUGCCGUUGAAUAUAUUAGCAUGGAAUAAUAUGAUAGGACUUUGGUACUAUUUUGUUGGUUUGCGCACCAAAGUAAUGAUUAAUAGGGACAGUUGGGGGUAUUCGUAUUCCGUUGUCAGAGGUGAAAUUCUUGGAUUUACGGAAGACGAACUACUGCGAAAGCAUUUACCAAGGAUGUUUUCAUUAA
rnacentral:rRNA from 1 species